rnacentral:rRNA from 1 species
UGUCAUGUUAUCGAUAUGUGAAUACAUAGCAUAUCAGAAGGCACACCCGGAGAACUGAAACAUCUUAGUACCCGGAGGAAGAGAAAGAAAAUUCGAUUCCCUUAGUAGCGGCGAGCGAAACGGGAAGAGCCCAAACCAACAAGCUUGCUUGUUGGGGUUGUAGGACACUCUAUACGGAGUUACAAAGGACGACAUUAGACGAAUCAUCUGGAAAGAUGAAUCAAAGAAGGUAAUAAUCCUGUAGUCGAAAAUGUUGUCUCUCUUGAGUGGAUCCUGAGUACGACGGAGCACGUGAAAUUCCGUCGGAAUCUGGGAGGACCAUCUCCUAAGGCUAAAUACUCUCUAGUGACCGAUAGUGAACCAGUACCGUGAGGGAAAGGUGAAAAGCACCCCGGAAGGGGAGUGAAAUAGAACCUGAAACCGUGUGCUUACAAGUAGUCAGAGCCCGUUAAUGGGUGAUGGCGUGCCUUUUGUAGAAUGAACCGGCGAGUUACGAUUUGAUGCAAGGUUAAGCAGUAAAUGUGGAGCCGUAGCGAAAGCGAGUCUGAAUAGGGCGUUUAGUAUUUGGUCGUAGACCCGAAACCAGGUGAUCUACCCUUGGUCAGGUUGAAGUUCAGGUAACACUGAAUGGAGGACCGAACCGACUUACGUUGAAAAGUGAGCGGAUGAACUGAGGGUAGCGGAGAAAUUCCAAUCGAACCUGGAGAUAGCUGGUUCUCUCCGAAAUAGCUUUAGGGCUAGCCUCAAGUGAUGAUUAUUGGAGGUAGAGCACUGUUUGGACGAGGGGCCCCUCUCGGGUUACCGAAUUCAGACAAACUCCGAAUGCCAAUUAAUUUAACUUGGGAGUCAGAACAUGGGUGAUAAGGUCCGUGUUCGAAAGGGAAACAGCCCAGACCACCAGCUAAGGUCCCAAAAUAUAUGUUAAGUGGAAAAGGAUGUGGCGUUGCCCAGACAACUAGGAUGUUGGCUUAGAAGCAGCCAUCAUUUAAAGAGUGCGUAAUAGCUCACUAGUCGAGUGACACUGCGCCGAAAAUGUACCGGGGCUAAACAUAUUACCGAAGCUGUGGAUUGUCCUUUGGACAAUGGUAGGAGAGCGUUCUAAGGGCGUUGAAGCAUGAUCGUAAGGACAUGUGGAGCGCUUAGAAGUGAGAAUGCCGGUGUGAGUAGCGAAAGACGGGUGAGAAUCCCGUCCACCGAUUGACUAAGGUUUCCAGAGGAAGGCUCGUCCGCUCUGGGUUAGUCGGGUCCUAAGCUGAGGCCGACAGGCGUAGGCGAUGGAUAACAGGUUGAUAUUCCUGUACCACCUAUAAUCGUUUUAAUCGAUGGGGGGACGCAGUAGGAUAGGCGAAGCGUGCGAUUGGAUUGCACGUCUAAGCAGUAAGGCUGAGUAUUAGGCAAAUCCGGUACUCAUUAAGGCUGAGCUGUGAUGGGGAGAAGACAUUGUGUCUUCGAGUCGUUGAUUUCACACUGCCGAGAAAAGCCUCUAGAUAGAAAAUAGGUGCCCGUACCGCAAACCGACACAGGUAGUCAAGAUGAGAAUUCUAAGGUGAGCGAGCGAACUCUCGUUAAGGAACUCGGCAAAAUGACCCCGUAACUUCGGGAGAAGGGGUGCUCUUUAGGGUUAACGCCCAGAAGAGCCGCAGUGAAUAGGCCCAAGCGACUGUUUAUCAAAAACACAGGUCUCUGCUAAACCGUAAGGUGAUGUAUAGGGGCUGACGCCUGCCCGGUGCUGGAAGGUUAAGAGGAGUGGUUAGCUUCUGCGAAGCUACGAAUCGAAGCCCCAGUAAACGGCGGCCGUAACUAUAACGGUCCUAAGGUAGCGAAAUUCCUUGUCGGGUAAGUUCCGACCCGCACGAAAGGCGUAACGAUUUGGGCACUGUCUCAACGAGAGACUCGGUGAAAUCAUAGUACCUGUGAAGAUGCAGGUUACCCGCGACAGGACGGAAAGACCCCGUGGAGCUUUACUGUAGCCUGAUAUUGAAAUUCGGCACAGCUUGUACAGGAUAGGUAGGAGCCUUUGAAACGUGAGCGCUAGCUUACGUGGAGGCGCUGGUGGGAUACUACCCUAGCUGUGUUGGCUUUCUAACCCGCACCACUUAUCGUGGUGGGAGACAGUGUCAGGCGGGCAGUUUGACUGGGGCGGUCGCCUCCUAAAAGGUAACGGAGGCGCUCAAAGGUUCCCUCAGAAUGGUUGGAAAUCAUUCAUAGAGUGUAAAGGCAUAAGGGAGCUUGACUGCGAGACCUACAAGUCGAGCAGGGUCGAAAGACGGACUUAGUGAUCCGGUGGUUCCGCAUGGAAGGGCCAUCGCUCAACGGAUAAAAGCUACCCCGGGGAUAACAGGCUUAUCUCCCCCAAGAGUUCACAUCGACGGGGAGGUUUGGCACCUCGAUGUCGGCUCAUCGCAUCCUGGGGCUGUAGUCGGUCCCAAGGGUUGGGCUGUUCGCCCAUUAAAGCGGUACGCGAGCUGGGUUCAGAACGUCGUGAGACAGUUCGGUCCCUAUCCGUCGUGGGCGUAGGAAAUUUGAGAGGAGCUGUCCUUAGUACGAGAGGACCGGGAUGGACAUACCUCUGGUGUACCAGUUGUCGUGCCAACGGCAUAGCUGGGUAGCUAUGUGUGGACGGGAUAAGUGCUGAAAGCAUCUAAGCAUGAAGCCCCCCUCAAGAUGAGAUUUCCCAACUUCGGUUAUAAGAUCCCUCAAAGAUGAUGAGGUUAAUAGGUUCGAGGUGGAAGCAUGGUGACAUGUGGAGCUGACGAAUACUAA